UUCAUAUCCAAUGUAUUUUGAAGAAAUACCCUUAUGGGAUGUUUUUGAGAUUUUUCUUGGAUAUAUGUUAUAGGAUGAUUAGUUCAUUAGCUAUGGCCUAUAAGCAUGUUGUAUUAUUGUUAAAGCCCCGCCUCAUGAUCGGCAGAGGCACCAAUCUUUUGUAGAGUAAGCUUUUGGACACUGAUCACACUAUAAAGUUCAUGUCAAUGACGAUCAUCCACAGGAUUAGGUUCACUAAACUCUCAUCAUUAUAUUGUAGCAAAAAACGAGAUAAAACAUUUAAUUGUACCUGGUUUGUAGAGUUAACAAUCCUUGUUCGUUGAUGAGACACUUGAGCGCAUAGAAUUAUAGGACAAACUAUGUAUCUGCCUUGAAGGUCUUGCUAAUCCUCCUGCCCUUUGAUAACACCUCUUUUUUUUUGCUUCUUUUCUACUUUUUCUUGUUUUCUCUCCUUAGAAUUUUCCUCCACACUCUGUCUGUCUCUUCAUGUCUCCUCCUGUGUGUCUCACCGUAUAAGUCUGCAGGGAUGGAAGGGUAUCUAUAGGUUAACCUUCAGGGGUUCUUGAGGCGGUGAUUUGGAGUAAAGAGGGCUAAAAAUCUGGGAAUUGAGGCUGAUCGUUGGCAUGCAUUUGGAACAAAUUUGGGGAUCAAUAUUCAUGGUUCUUCGAAUUUUGAUUGGAACUGGGGUGUUAAUGAAAAGAAUCGAAGAUAUUUUGGGCCAUUCGAAGAUCAAUU
rnacentral:lncRNA from 1 species